GACGUAGGGCGCGAGCGUUGUCCGGAUUUACUGGGCGUAAAGAGCUCGUAGGUGGUUUGUCGCGUUGUUCGUGAAAACUCACAACUCAAUUGUGGGCGUGCGGGCGAUACGGGCAGACUGGAGUACUGCAGGGGAGACUGGAAUUCCUGGUGUAGCGGUGAAAUGCGUAGAUAUCAAGAGGAACACCUGAGGUGAAGACGGGUUGCUGGGCCAACACUGACGUGGAUGCGCGAAAGCCAGGGGAGCAAACGGG
rnacentral:rRNA from 1 species